UCCUCUCCCGAUCCAUCCAUCCAUAUCUCUCCCAUCUUUCUCUCCGCUCAAGCCCUCGACUACAUCACGGUGCACUGCGCCUCUGCCCCCACCUCCUUCUGCCGCCCGCCCGCGCCUUGCCGCUAGGUUAGGUCACCCACGAACUACCGACGCACCACGCCGCGCCAUCGACCUACGAAUCUACGAUCGCGGAGAAGUUGCAGAUCAUGGGAGAGCGGCCAUGCUCUGCCUAGAGAUGUCAUCUGUGGUGCCAUCUUCUUGCAUCGCCCGUGUGGAAAUUGGUACAUCGGUUUUUUUUUUUUGCGGGGAAAUACAGGUACAUCGUUGAUCACAAAUGGACACAUAUCUUCCCAAACGAAAAGCAACAUCACAAGAAGUCCAACCUCGCACUUUUGAAUUUCCGUAACCAUCGAGAAGAAAAUAGCAGAAGGUAGGAUGAAUUAUUCUACUACCGUCAACUUUCCCUUACGAGUGGCAUCAAUAAUUUUGUGUACCAGGGUUGAUUUUCUCCAGCUCGGCCCUGUUGAUCGCCACUGCUGUACACGCAACCAGAGCGUCUACCAUGUUGACCGCUAACACCAAUACGCAAGAAGAAACCUUCCCCGGUGGCGGUGAGGAACAUGACGAAGUUGUCGGUGCAUGAGUGUAUCUACGAGGUGAGGCCGGUGGGCUAUAGCUUUGUGGUGAUCUUUUAGCUGUAACUUCGAAGUUUUCUUCCCUUGCAAAAGA